rnacentral:rRNA from 1 species
UCGAGGAUCUUCGGCAAUGGGCGCAAGCCUGACCGAGCGACGCCGCGUGUGCGAUGAAGGCCUUCGGGUUGUAAAGCACUGUCGAGGGGGAGGAAAGCCCGCAAGGGCCUGACCUAUCCCUGGAGGAAGCACGGGCUAAGUUCGUGCCAGCAGCCGCGGUAAGACGAACCGUGCAAACGUUGUUCGGAAUCACUGGGCUUAAAGGGCGCGUAGGCGGGUUCCCAAGUCGGUGGUGAAAUCUUGCGGCUCAACCGUAGAAGUGCCGCCGAUACUGGGAGUCUCGAGGGAGGUAGGGGUCGAGGGAACUUCCGGUGGAGCGGUGAAAUGCGUAGAUAUCGGAAGGAACGCCGGUGGCGAAAGCGCUCGACUGGACCUUUACUGACGCUGAGGCGCGAAAGCCAGGGGAGCAAACGG